rnacentral:rRNA from 1 species
UACAGAGGGGGCAAGCGUUGUUCGGAAUUACUGGGCGUAAAGGGCGCGUAGGCGGCCUUCUAAGUCGAACGUGAAAUCCCCGAGCUCAACUCGGGAACUGCGUCCGAUACUGGCGGGCUUGAAUCCGGGAGAGGGAUGCGGAAUUCCAGGUGUAGCGGUGAAAUGCGUAGAUAUCGGAAGGAACACCAGUGGCGAAAGCGGCUUCCUGGUCCAGCACCGACGUCAGGCACGAAAGCGUGGGGAGCAAACAGGGAUAGAU